AACCAGUGCGCGUGGGUGCGCCGGCCCUUGCCGCUGGUGACUCUGGAGGCAGACCUUGCCCAAAGCCAGAGGCGGGAACUCCCCAGAUCCUCCCAGGGUAGCAUGGGAGGAUGCCGCCUCCUCCAGGAAGCUCUCUAGCGCUUUUCCGUGUCCUGGAGCCAGGCGGGACUUCUCUGUGGUCGCCUAGAAGGGUAUGAACUUAGGGCAUCCCCAUCUGGGCUGUGAAGGUUUCUGACUUGGGGACCAGGUGCUCAGACCUUCCUGGAUGCUGCUUUCCACAAUAUCUCUACCUGGCAGGCAGGUUCUCUUCAUUUUGCAAAUUUGGUGAAACAGCAUUUGUAAAACUUUAGAACCUUCCUUGGCUCACACAGGUGGUAGUGGCCCUGUCAGGAUUUGACCCAGGCUCUCGGAUUCCAGAGUUCCUGAAUUUAACCACCUGUACUGUGAUGCCUCCUUAU
rnacentral:lncRNA from 1 species